rnacentral:rRNA from 1 species
CGUGUAGGCGGCCAGAUAGGUCGGUUGUGAAAACUAGAGGCUCAACCUCUAGACGUCGACCGAAACCAUCUGGCUAGAGUCCGGAAGAGGAGAGUGGAAUUCCUGGUGUAGCGGUGGAAUGCGCAGAUAUCAGGAAGAACACCCGUGGCGAAGGCGGCUCUCUGGGACGGUACUGACGCUGAGACGCGAAAGCGUGGGAGCGAACA